rnacentral:rRNA from 1 species
UACGUAGGGUGCAAGCGUUGUCCGGAAUUAUUGGGCGUAAAGGGCUCGUAGGCGGUCCAUCACGUCGGGAGUGAAAAGCUGGGGCUUAACCCCAGUCCUGCUUCCGAUACGGGUGGACUAGAGGUAGGCAGGGGAGAACGGAAUUCCUGGUGUAGCGGUGAAAUGCGCAGAUAUCAGGAGGAACACCGGUGGCGAAGGCGGCAUCCUGGACCGGCAUUGACGCUGAGGAGCGAAAGCCAGGGGAGCAAACGGG